rnacentral:rRNA from 1 species
UACGAAGGGGGCUAGCGUUGCUCGGAAUCACUGGGCGUAAAGCGCACGUAGGCGGCUUUCUAAGUCAGGGGUGAAAUCCUGGAGCUCAACUCCAGAACUGCCUUUGAUACUGGAGAGCUUGAGUCCGGAAGAGGUGAGUGGAACUCCGAGUGUAGAGGUGAAAUUCGUAGAUAUUCGGAAGAACACCAGUGGCGAAGGCGGCUCACUGGUCCGGUACUGACGCUGAGGAGCGAAAGCGUGGGGAGCAAACAGG